rnacentral:misc_RNA from 1 species
AACGGUCUAUACCUGCGGUACCUGCGGAGGGAUCAUUCAAAAUAAAAGUGAAAUUUAUAUGGCACUUUUAAAAAAAUCCAUAUUCACCUUGUGUGCAAUGUAAAUGAAAGAGAAGACUUGUCUUCUCUUUUAUAUCAUAUCAACUCUUUGCUUUGAAACCUGUUUGUCUGAAAUAAAAAUAUUCUUUGAAUAACUUAAUUCAAAAAUACAACUUUUAACAAUGGAUCUCUAGAUCGGAAG